rnacentral:rRNA from 1 species
GAAUCCCGUCUUCGACACGGAUCCCCGGGGCUUUGUGGUACGCUCUCAAAGAGUCGAGUUGUUUGGGAAUGCAGCUCAAAAUGGGUGGUAAAUUCCAUCUAAAGCUAAAUAUUGGCGAGAGACCGAUAGCGAACAAGUACCGUGAGGGAAAGAUGAAAAGAACUUUGGAAAGAGAGUUAAACAGUACGUGAAAUUGCUGAAAGGGAAACGCUUGAAGUCAGUCGCGUCGUCUGGAAAUCAACCUUGCUUUUGUUGGGUGUACUUUCCAGUUGACGGGCCAGCAUCAGUUUUGACCGGUGGAAAAAGGCUAAGGGAAUGUGGCACCUUCGGGUGUGUUAUAGCCCUUGGUUGUAUACAUCGGUUGGGACUGAGGAACUCAGCACGCCGCAAGGCAGGUCUUCGGACACUUUCGUGCUUAGGAUGCUGGCAUAAUGGCUUUAAUCGACCCGUCUUGAAACACGGACCAAGGAGUCUAACAUGCUUGCGAGUGUUUGGGUGGAAAAACCCAUGCGCGCGAUGAAAGUGAAAGUUGAGAUCCUCUUCAAAGGGGGAGCAUUGACGCCCGGACCAGACCUUUUGUGACGGAUCCGCGGUAGAGCAUGCAUGUUGGGACCCGAAAGAUGGUGAACUAUGCCUGAAUAGGGUGAAGCCAGAGGAAACUCUGGUGGAGGCUCGUAGCGAUUCUGACGUGCAAAUCGAUCGUCAAAUUUGGGUAUAGGGGCGAAAGACUAAUCGAACCAUCUAGUAGCUGGUUCCUGCC